AACACAAUGGCGGCGAAACUGAAUCACCUGCAACUUUUUUGUGGUCGAUUUGUAAACCAAGCCGACUACUUUCUGGGGUCUUUGGCUUUCGCAAAAAUGCUGAGUUGCACAAUGGCAGUGUACCGCCACCACGCGCCUCCAUACUCAAAUGUACAUGUCCCCUACAGUGAGUUCUUCCAGCUGGAGGCCCUGACACACUACCACCGCGUGGUAAGCCUAGAGAACUUCACGAAGCAGCUUGCCCCAACACUCUGGCCUAAGGGCAGCCCACUGAGUCAGCUGCCCAGAGGAGUGUAGACAAGAAGUCCUGCCCCAUGAAGGUGAGUGUUGUGAUUGAUGUGUAGAGUCAGAGAUGAUU